UACGGGGGGGGCAAGCGUUGUUCGGAAUUACUGGGCGUAAAGGGCUCGUAGGCGGCCAACUAAGUCGGAUGUGAAAUCCCCAGGCUCAACCUGGGAACUGCAUCCGAUACUGGAUGGCUUGAAUCCGGGAGAGGGAUGCAGAAUUCCAGGUGUAGCGGUGAAAUGCGUAGAUAUCUGGAGGAAUACCGGUGGCGAAGGCGGCAUCCUGGACCGAGAUUGACACUGAUGAGCGAAAGCCAGGGGAGCAAACGGG
rnacentral:rRNA from 1 species